CACACGACUCUCGGCAACGGAUAUCUCGGCUCUCGCAUCGAUGAAGAACGUAGCGAAAUGCGAUACCUGGUGUGAAUUGCAGAAUCCCGCGAACCAUCGAGUCUUUGAACGCAAGUUGCGCCCGAGGCCAUUCGGCCGAGGGCAUGCCUGCCUGGGCGUCACGC
rnacentral:rRNA from 1 species